CGCUGCGCCUCUGGGCAGACGCCGGCCGGGAUUGUGCCGGGAUCCGGAGCCCCCGGGUGCGCCGCAGGCUCCUUCCACUGCAUCCGGGAAAUGGCCUCGCCCUCUCCGGCCCCUGACUGCCGGUGACCUGGAAACUACCAACUAGAAUAUGUCAAAAAUCCAUUCCUGGUGGCUCAACAGUCCUGGAGACAGAGGAGCUCAUGACAGUUGCCGGGGAUAAAACGGAGGACACACUGACCUGGCCCUGUCUUCACAAAGCUUAGAUGAGUGAGGGAGACCAACUACAGUAGAUUGUGGUGCUUGAAAAUACAGUGUUAAAGAGGGAAAAUACUGUGUUAAAGAGGGAAAAUUCAGUGUUAAAGAGGGAAAAUACUGUGUUAAAGAGGGAAAAUACAGUGUUAAAGAGGGAAAAGGCUUUGGGCACAAAGUUACUCACUACGAUGUUAUGUAUAACAGUGAAAAAUCAGUCACCAUCUAUGUAUCCAACAACAAAGAAAUAUAUAUACCCGCAUGGACAAUUACAUAGCUAUUAAAAUGAUGUCAUGCGUAGAGAAUGGACUUGAGGACACGGGGAAGGGGAAGGGGAAGCUGCGACGAAGUGAGAGA